rnacentral:tRNA from 1 species
UGGCUCAGUGAUAGAGCGCUCGCCUGGCACGUGUGAGGCACUGAGUUCAAUCCUCAG